CCAGCAUCUGAUUGUUUUGACAUUCAGAAAAUGUUGGUCAAAGAAAUGGUAUAUAUGGAAUCCGGCUGUGGAAAUCUAAAGUCUAUAAAGAAAUAUACUGCGAUUUAGAUACUGCCGGCGGCGGAUGGUCGGUGUUCCAAAGACGGUUUAAUGGUUCAGUGGACUUCUACCGGAAUCAUGCUAAUUACACCGUUGGUUUUGGACAUAGUAACGGCGAAUUCUGGCUAGGGCUUCAUUAUAUAUUUGAAUUAUCGUCGCAAAGCAAGACAGAAUAACGAAUAGAUGUAGAAGCAGCACACGGUUCCAAAGCGUUUGAACUAUACACAAACUUUCGUUUAGACGAAGGCGACUAUAGGCUAUACAUCGAUCAAGGUUCGGCUCAACAGGUACAAUGUUUACAGU